AGGAGAGUUUGAUCCUGGCUCAGGAUGAACGCUAGCGACAGGCUUAACACAUGCAAGUCGAGGGGCAGCGUGGCGGUAGCAAUACUGCCGACGGCGACCGGCGCACUGGUGAGUAACACGUAUGCAACCUGCCCCUGGUUGGGGGAUAACCCGCGGAAACGCGGCCUAAUACCCCGUAUGCGCCGAGGCCGCAUGACUUCGGCGUGAUAGAAUUUCGUCCAGGGAUGGGCAUGCGGCGCAUUAGCUGGUUGGCGGGGCAACGGCCCACCAAGGCGACGAUGCGUAGGGGUUCUGAGAGGAAGGUCCCCCACACUGGUACUGAGACACGGACCAGACUCCUACGGGAGGCAGCAGUGAGGAAUAUUGGUCAAUGGGCGGUAGCCUGAACCAGCCAAGUCGCGUGAGGGAUGACGGCCCUACGGGUUGUAAACCUCUUUUGUCGGGGAGUAACCCGCGUCACGUGUGGCGCGCUGAGAGUACCCGGCGAAUAAGCAUCGGCUAACUCCGUGCCAGCAGCCGCGGUAAUACGGAGGAUGCGAGCGUUAUCCGGAUUUAUUGGGUUUAAAGGGUGCGCAGGCGGUCUGCCAAGUCAGCGGUCAAACUGCGGGGCUCAACCCCGUACCGCCGUUGAAACUGGUGGGCUGGAGUCUGUGGGACGGUGGCGGAAUGCGCGGUGUAGCGGUGAAAUGCAUAGAUAUCACGCAGAACUCCGAUUGCGAAGGCAGCUGCCGACCACAUCACUGACGCUCAUGCACGAAAGCGUGGGUAUCGAACAGGAUUAGAUACCCUGGUACCU
rnacentral:rRNA from 1 species